AAUAGCUACUACGACAAUCGCAAUAAGGCAUCAAACAAUGACACUGUAGUUUAUCCGAAUUACUUACCUAAUCAAUUAAGAUCCUGACGCACUUUCUACAGAUCUUUAAGAUCCUAGAUGAAACAUAAGUAUCUUUUAAUUUAUAGCUCGCUAAUUUCUAUUUUUGCACUCAGUUUUAGAGUUCUUUAGUUGACGAUUGUUGUUUACUUGGUUUUUGAAGGUAUUUCAAAACGUCUCCCUGUUAUGUAUUUCUGGGAUAGCAAAGGUUGGCUACUAAGAUAGGUAUUGUAUUUCCAACAAAAUUGAAAUGAUAGAUCAAGAAAGGCUUUGGAUUUUCAAGCUCCCAAAUGGAGUUAUGUAUCAUUAUUAUUCACUGUGAAGAAACUAGAAACUAUUGCCUCACAAAGGGGUAGAACAUAAAUUAGCCGCCAAAGUUUGGAAGAGAUUGUCAAGGAAUGAUAAGGCGCAAGAAUUAGCUCUGCAAUAUUUACUAAAACUGUGAUUGAUGGUUUAGUUUCAUUAAUAGAGAUGUUCAAUUGCGUUAGUAAAACGUGAAGGGGAAUGACAAAGGAGCAUGCAUCGUACAUUAUGCAAUUAGCCAAGUUUGAUGUUGUCCCUCAACACAUUCAAAUCAGCUUGCCAAAAAGGAGGAAGCAUCAGUUUAGUCGGUCAGCUUUCAAAUUUGGAUCCACGAACUUAAAAAUAGGGCAUUGAGUGAAGGUUGUACAAUUACAAACACUUGAGGCAUCAAUGGAUUUAUGAAACAUAAUUUUAUUGCUCUA